CGGCGGACGGGUGAGUAACGCGUGGGUAACCUGCCUUACACAGAGGGAUAACAGUUAGAAAUGACUGCUAAUACCGCAUAAGACCCCGGUACCGCAUGGUACAGAGGUAAAAACUGAGGUGGUGUAAGAUGGACCCGCGUCUGAUUAGGUAGUUGGUGAGGUAACGGCUCACCAAGCCGACGAUCAGUAGCCGGCCUGAGAGGGUGGACGGCCACAUUGGGACUGAGACACGGCCCAGACUCCUACGGAAGGCAGCAG
rnacentral:rRNA from 1 species